GGAGGGAUCAUCAAAGAAUUACACAUAUACCCAAGUGUUUUGGUUGGCGUGCUUUUUUUAGCGUGCUUUCCAGGCACUUUAAACAAACGAUCACAACUAGAGAAUGAGAUUGACUUGGUGUGUCUGUGCAGGUAUUUCGAGGGGAGACAAGACAAAAGUGUUUGCCUGAUAAUACAUUGACUUGGACAAUAUAUACAUAUACAACUUUCAACAACGGAUCUCUUGGCUCUCACAUCGAUGAAGAACAUAGCAAAGUGUGAAAAUUAAUGUGAAUUGCAGAAUUCAGUGAAUCAUUGAGUUUUUGAACGCAUCUUGCACUCCUUGGUAUUCCAGGGAGUAUGCCUGGUUGAGCAAUGUGAACAUAUCCAUCAGUUUCUCUCUUUUUGUGAGAGAUAUGAGACUGGAUCUGAGUGUUUACCUUGUCUUGGUUCUUGCUGGGAUGGAUGGGGGGAUGGGCUGGAUGGGUGUGUGUGAGUGUGUGAUUUUGGGGCUGACUUUCGGGUCAAUCUCUGUCUGCACACACACACACACAUACAGACAGCCAGUCUCUCAGUUAUAUCACAGUCGCGAAACAAGAAAACAAGGUUCACUUGAAAUGAAGCGAGAGAGAGAAACAACGACAACAGGAACUUGACAUGUAAAAAGACAGACAAGCACGAGAACCUCUUUGGAGGGGAUCAGGAGAAUUGGCUUGAUCAUAACAAUGACUGGAUGAAUAAGAAACAGCAGCCAUAUCCUCUGUGAGACUCUGCUCUCGCAUGGGACAUGGAGGUUGGAUCGGUUUAACAAGGUCUUGUUUAGAGCCUCUUUUCUGCGAGUCCAUCUUUGUCAAGAAAAAAGACUGUGUGUGUGCGUGUCUCUUUUUCUCACAACUAGGAAACGAGUGGGCACAUAUUUUUAUAUGUCCCCCCCACUCCCUCAUCAUCAUCAUUCUCAACUCAGGCAAGACUACCCGCUGAAUUUAAGCAUAUAAAUAAGCGGAGGAAAAGAAACUAACAAGGAUUCCCUUAGUAACUGCGAGUGAAGCGGGAAAAGCUCAACUUUGAAAUCUACCAAGAGUAAUAUUCUUGGUCGAAUUGUAGUUUCAAGAAAGAGUGGCUGAGAGAAGUCAGUUGGGUGCAAGUUCCUUGGAAUGAGACAUCAGAGAGGGUGACAAUCCCGUCCACCGUCCUUCUGUUUGCUUCUCACCAAAGGCCCUCUUUUCAAAGAGUCGAGUUGUUUGGGAUUGCAGCUCAAAAUGGGUGGUAAAUUUCAUCUAAAGCUAAAUAUGGGUGAGAGACCGAUAGCGAACAAGUACCGUGAGGGAAAGAUGAAAAGCACUCUGAAGAGAGAGUGAAAAGUACGUGAAAUUGUUGAAAGGGAAACGCUUGAAACCAGUCAAGGUUGGCUAGAUUUCAGGAGAGCGAUGUGUUGGGCGGGGCGGGUACGGAGAUUGAUCCUCGUGGUUUUAACUCUGUGCUGGCUUCAGCCUGGCCGUACUCUCUGUACGUUUCUAGCAAACGAGUCAGCAUCAGUUUGGACUUGCUUGGGAAAAAGCUUCUGGGAUUUGGUCGGGCUUUUGUGGGCCUUUUGGCCCUUGAAGGUCUGGAGCCUGGAAGCAUCCAUACCAAGCGCUAGACUGAGGACUGCAGUACGGGGCAUUGUCUUGGACUAGACUGGCCUGCGGUGCCGCUUUGGGUAAACAGCUUGCUGAUUGCUCAGAGCGUUGUCACUCGGGACGGUCCUAUCCAAGCGGGCUUCCGACUCUGGAUGUUGACGAAAUGGUUUUAAACGACCCGUCUUGAAACACGGACCAAGGAGUCUAACAUGGAUGCAAGUAUUUGGGUGAUUGGAAACCCAUAUGCGCAAUGAAAGUGAACUCUUGAUGGGUAGGACGCUGAGCGGUGUGUCCUCUCACGAGGCGCGCGCCUGGCCGCACUAUCGACCAAUCUUAAAUAGCUUCGGCUUGCUAGAUUUGAGUAAGAGCAUGCAUGCUGGGACCCGAAAGAUGGUGAACUAUGCCUGAAUAGGGUGAAGUCAGACGAAAGUCUGAUGGAAGCUCGUAGCGAUUCUGACGUGCAAAUCGAUCGUCGAAUUUGGGUAUAGGGGCGAAAGACUAAUCGAACCAUCUAGUAGCUGGUUCCUGC
rnacentral:misc_RNA from 1 species